rnacentral:rRNA from 1 species
UACAGAGGUGGCAAGCGUUGUUCGGAAUUACUGGGCGUAAAGGGCGCGUAGGUGGCCUUUUGAGUCAGACGUGAAAUCCCCCGGCUUAACCUGGGAACUGCGUCUGAUACUGGAAGGCUUGAGUUCGGGAGAGGGAUGUGGAAUUCCAGGUGUAGCGGUGAAAUGCGUAGAUAUCGGGAGGAACACCAGUGGCGAAGGCGGCUGUCUGGGCCAGUUCUGACGCUGAGGCGCGAAAGCGUGGGGAGCAAACAGG